rnacentral:rRNA from 1 species
AUUGAACGCUGGCGGCAUGCUUUACACAUGCAAGUCGAACGGCAGCGCGGGCUUCGGCCUGGCGGCGAGUGGCGAACGGGUGAGUAAUACAUCGGAACGUGCCCAGUAGUGGGGGAUAGCUCGGCGAAAGCCGGAUUAAUACCGCAUACGACCUGAGGGUGAAAGCGGGGGAUCUUCGGACCUCGCGCUAUUGGAGCCGCCGAUGGCAGAUUAGCUAGUUGGUGGGGUAAAGGCCUACCAAGGCGACGAUCUGUAGCUGGUCUGAGAGGACGACCAGCCACACUGGGACUGAGACACGGCCCAGACUCCUACGGGAGGCAGCAGUGGGGAAUUUUGGACAAUGGGCGAAAGCCUGAUCCAGCAAUGCGGCGUGUGUGAUGAAGGCCUUCGGGUUGUAAAGCACUUUUGGCGGGAACGAAAAGGACUGUGCCAAUACCACGGUUCGAUGACGGUACCCGCAGAAUAAGCACCGGCUAACUACGUG